rnacentral:rRNA from 1 species
AGAGUUUGAUCCUGGCUCAGGAUGAACGCUGGCGGCGUGCCUAACACAUGCAAGUCGAACGGGGUUAUUUAGGAAAUUUCCUUCGGGGAAUGGAAUCUUUAACCUAGUGGCGGACGGGUGAGUAACGCGUGAGCAAUCUGCCUUCGGAUGGGGGAUAACAGCCGGAAACGGCUGCUAAUACCGCAUAACACAUGGGAUCCGCAUGUUUCCCAUGUCAAAGAUUUAUCGUCCGGAGAUGAGCUCGCGUCUGAUUAGCUGGUUGGCGGGGUAACGGCCCACCAAGGCGACGAUCAGUAGCCGGACUGAGAGGUUGAACGGCCACAUUGGGACUGAGACACGGCCCAGACUCCUACGGGAGGCAGCACCGCGGAAUAUUGCGCAAUGGGGGCAACCCUGACGCAGCAACGCCGCGUGAUUGAAGAAGGCCUUCGGGUUGUAAAGAUCUUUAAUCGGGGACGAAUUUUGACGGUACCCGAAGAAUAAGCUCCGGCUAACUACGUGCCAGCAGCCGCGGUAAUACGUAGGGAGCAAGCGUUAUCCGGAUUUACUGGGUGUAAAGGGCGUGUAGGCGGGCAUGCAAGCCAGAAGUGAAAU